rnacentral:rRNA from 1 species
UACGGAGGGUGCGAGCGUUGUCCGGAAUCACUGGGCGUAAAGGGUGCGUAGGCGGUCGGGUAAGUCUGAUGUGAAAUCUCACAGCUUAACUGUGAAACUGCAUUGGAUACUAUCCGGCUUGAGGAAUGGAGGGGAGACUGGAAUACUUGGUGUAGCAGUGAAAUGCGUAGAUAUCAAGUGGAACACCAGUGGCGAAGGCGGUUCUCUGGGCCUUACCUGACACUGAGGAGCGAAAGCGUGGGAAGCGAACAGG